UUUCCCGUGGGAUUCAGAUUUGAGCUUUUGCUGCUUUUACUUGCUGUUACAGAUGUUUUUCCCAUUCAAAUCGGGGGGCAUUUUUUGCAUAUCCAAUAAGCGGAGGAAAAGAAACCAACCGGGAUUGCCUCAGUAACGGCGAGUGAAGCGGCAAAAGCUCAAAUUUGAAAUCCCUCGGGAAUUGUAAAUUGAAGACGCAUUCUUGGCCUCAGCUGGUUUAAGUGCCUUGGAACAGGCCGCCAUGGAGGGUGACAGCCCCGUAAAAUCAGUUUAAAGCCUGUGCAGAUUGCCGUCGACGAGUCGAGUUGUUUGGGAAUGCAGCUCUAAGUGGGUGGUAAGCUCCAUCUAAAGCUAAAUAUUGGCGAGAGACCGAUAGCGAACAAGUACAGUGAUGGAAAGAUGAAAAGCACUUUGAAAAGAGAGUGAAACAGCACGUGAAAUUGUUGAAAGGGAAGGGCUUGGCCUCAGACUCGGGUGUGCCUCGGUGCACCUGGGCCAGCAUGGGUUGGAGAGAUGUGAAAAGCGCAGGGGAAUGUGGCACCUUCGGGUGUGUUAUAGCCCUUGUUCAUGACAUUUUUCCGACCGAGGACUGCGAUAUCAAGGAUGCUGGCGUAAUGAUGUCAAGCCGCCCGUCUUGAACAACGGGACCUCAAACGGGGUUUAUAAAAAAUUAUUAAAAGACCGAAUUUUUUCCCUUGUGACACA
rnacentral:rRNA from 2 species